UAGGGAAUCUUCCACAAUGGGCGCAAGCCUGAUGGAGCAACGCCGCGUGAGUGAAGAAGGUCUUCGGAUCGUAAAACUCUGUUGCUAGAGAAGAACAUGCAGGAGAGUAACUGUUCUUGUAUUGACGGUAUCUAACCAGAAAGCCACGGCUAACUACGUGCCCA
rnacentral:rRNA from 1 species